GGUGAGGGUGAGGGUGAUGGUGGGUCUGUACAGAGGUUGUAUUUCAGUAGGGGACGAGAUACAGGGGUUGGGUGGGAUUCUCAAUUAAGUUUUGUUAAAAUUGCAAUCUGACCCCUUACUUUAGUUUAUGCAAUUUUCAGAAACAUUCAAUUUAGUCCCUGCAGUUUUCAAUUAGGUUAAUUAGGGCUGUUUAAUUAAGGUUUUCGAAAUUGCUAUUCAGUCCCCUAAAUUUAAGUUAUUCCUGAUUUUGGGUCGGGGUCAAUUUGAAAUAAUGAAAAAUCAGUAUUACAGCCCUCAAGCUUUCGAAAACUGCAUUUCAG
rnacentral:lncRNA from 1 species